GCGCCUGUAGUCCCAGCUACUCGGGAGGCUGAGGCAGGAGAAUCGCUUGAACCUGGAAGGCGGAGUUGCAGUGAGCCGAGAUGCGCCACUGUGCUCCAGUCUGGGCAACAAAGAGCGAAACUCCAUCUGGAAAACAAACAAACAAACAAAAAACCCACAAAAUAUGUGAAUUUUUCAAAUUGCACAAAAUCUUCUGAUUUUCAUUAUAAGUAUGCAUGUUCUUAUUUUGCAAUGUUCUUAUUUUGUAAUGCAUUCUCAGAAACACAAGUGUUUAGCAACAACCAAACCAAAAUUCUUUCCAGUUAGUUUUGUAAUUUGGGGCCAUAUUUCAAAAGAGUUACUUCAUUUUGUUGCAGGUGAUAUUAAACAGAAAAAUAUACAGACCUUGAGACAAGGGAAUUUUGUCCUUUUCUUUUUGACUUCUAAAGCAGUUUUAAAUUGUUUAUAUGUAUCAAAAGUAAUUCAGUCUAAUACAGUAUAUGGGACUAAUAAUUUAAUCUUUAAAUUAGUUAGCAUUUUGGAUAGUUUAUUAUAAGUGUAAACUUACAACAAUGUAAUACUAUAUAUAAAUUAAAAAUAUAUAUAUAUAACAUAGUAUAGAAGAUUAAAAUAAGAUUCCUCUUUUCCAUAAAUCCUUUCUGACAGAAUCAAAGGCAAGUCAAUGCAAAACAAAAACAAAAGCAGAAAAUUCGCUUUUUCUCCUCAAAUUGGUAUUGAGGUAAACCAGGACUUGAGGGAUUCCACUUUCAUAGCUAUUUUUUGCUUGUUUGUUUGUUUGUUUGUUUGUGACGGAGUCUCGCUCUGUCGCCUGGGCUGGAGUGCAAUGGCAUGAUCUCGGCUCACUGCAACCUCUGCCUCCUGGGUUCAAGCGAUUCUCCGCCUCAGCCUCCUGAGUAGCUAGGAUUACAGGCACCCGCCAUCAUGCCUGGCUAAUUUUUGUGUUUUUGCAGAGACAGGGUUUCACCAUGUUGGCCAAGCUGGUCUUGAACUCCUGACCUCAGGUCAUCCGCCUGCCUUGGCCUCCGAAGGUGCUGGGAUGACAGGCAUGAGCCACCACGCAUGGCCUCUCAUAGAUAUUUGAAUUGGAGUACUUUGCAACUCUAGAGAUUUGGAGGGUGAGUGAGGAUUAUAUAAAAUUUUGAAACUCAUGUUGCCAACUGAGAGGCCAUCAUGAAGUAACAUUUAUUUUAUUUUUUAUUUUUUUCUGAGACGGGGUCUUCUCUGUCAUCCAGGCUGGAGUGCAGUGGCGUAAUGUCAGCUCACUGCGGCCUUCACCUCUUGGGCUCAAACAAUCCUCCCACCUCAGCCUCUCAAAUAGCUGCAACUACAGGAAUGUGCCACCACGUGCCACCACAGUGGCUAAUUUUUUCUAUUUUUUGUAGAGACAGAGUCUCUCUAUGUUGCCCAGGCUGGUCUUGAACUCUUGGGCUCAAGUGAUCCACCCACCUUGGCCUCUUGGAGUGCUGAGAUUACCCGCAUAAGUCAUUGCGCCUGGCCACAUUUAAUUUUUUAAAAAUAAACUACCUGGGUUGUACUUAAUAAACUAUACAUUUAAAAUACUCUAAAAAUCUGAUGAAGGCCUCAAAUGCUAUUUUAAAAUUUUUAAAUUUAGAGACAGAAUCUCACUGUCGCCCAGGUAACCUUCCCUCCGGGCUUAAGUGAUCUUCCUGCCUCAGCCUCCUGAGUAGCUGGGACUACAGGUUCACACCACCAUGCCCGUCUGAUUUUUAAAAAUGUCUGUGGAGACGGGGGUCUCACUUCAUUGCCCAGGCUAGUCUCCUGGGCUCAAGCAAUCCUUCCACCUCAGCCUCCCAAAGUGGUAAGAUGAUACUUGUGAGCCCCCAUGGCUGGCUAUUUUUUUUUUUUUGAGACCGAGUCUGGCUCUGUCGCCUAGGCUGGAGUGCAGUGGAGGGAUCUCAGCUCACUGCAACCUCCGCCUCCCGUGUUCAAGUGAUUCUCCUGCCUCAGCCUCCCAAGUAGCUGGGACUAAAGGCACGUGCCACCACACCCAGCUGAUUUUUGUAUUUUUAGUAGAGAUGGGGUUUUACCACGUUGGCCAGGCUGGUCUCGAACUCCUGACCUCAGGUGAUCCACCCUCUUCGGCCUCCCAAAGUGCUGGGAUUACAGGUGUGAGCCACUGUGCCUGGCCCCAGCUGCUAUUUUUAAAUAACUGAAUAUUGUGAGUAAAAAUUACAGUAAAUCCCAACCUGUGAUGUAACAUUUUGUUACAUGUAAAUGUUAUCAUAUAUGUACAUUGAAAAUACACAAAUAGGCUGGGCACGGUCCUUAUUUCAAUCUUCUUUUUUUUUUGGUUGACUCGUCUCGUGAUUAGAUCAUCCUAUUUACUGAUAAUGUUGCUGACGGAGUUCAUAGCUCUUCUAUUUUAUUCUUGUUUGCUUGUUGUUGGGUUAUUAGUAUUAGCUUCAAUCAGCAGUUUCUUUGUAAAAAAAUCUUUUUAAGCCACUUAUCUACUUCAUGAAGGUUUAGUUAAAACUAGUAGACAAGGCUGGGUGCAGAGGUUCACACCUCUAAUCUCAGUACUGUGGGAGGUCAAGGUGGGAGGAUUCCUUGAGCCCAGGAGUUUGAGACCAACUUGGGCAACAUGGUGAGCUCCCUGUCUCUACAAAAAUAAAAAAAUUAGCCGGGUGUGGUGGUAUGUGCCUGCAGUCCCAGCUACUUAUGAGGCUGCAAGAGGAUCACUUGAUCCCAGGAGGUCCAGGCUGCAGUGAGCUGUGCUUGCACCACUGCACCCAGCCUGGGUAACACAGUGAGAUCCCAUCUCAAAAAAACCCACAAAAAAGUGGGGUGCAGUGUCUCAUGCCUGUAAUCCCAGCACUUUGGGAAGCUGAGGUGGGUGGAACAUUUGAGGCCAGGAGUUCGAGACCAGCCUGGCCAACAUGGUGAAACACAUGUGAGGCCAGGAGUUGGAGACCAGCCUGGCCAACAUGGUGAAACACAACAUGGUAGAAAUACAAAAAAUUAGCUGGGCAUGGUGGCUUGUGCCUGUAAUCCCAGCUACUCAGGAGGCUGAGGCAGGAGGAUCUCUUGAACCCGGGAGGCAGAGGUUGCAGUGAGCCGAGAUCGCGCCACUGCCCUCCAGCCUGGGUGACAGAGCAAGACUCCAUCUAAAAAAAAAAAAAAAAAAAAAACCAAGAAACCACAAAAAAUGAAAAACAAGAAAACAGUAAUUAGUAGAUAAUAAAUUCCAAAACUGAGGACAUACAAAGUAUAGUCUAUAGCAAUCUGCUGAAAACUCCUUUUGUUCUCUCCUUUGGAGGGUAGAACUCUUACUUUCACUUCAGGAUAACUUACCACUAAUUCUGUGUGACUGCUUUGGUAUCCGCCAUGUGAGAGCAAACUUCACUGUGAAUCUAUUAAACAUUAACAACAUUUAAUUCAUUUUCUUUUUUUUUUUUUUUUUUUGAGACGGAGGCUCGCUUUAUCACCAGGCUGGAAUACAGUGGUGCAAUCUCGGCUUACUGCAACCUCCACCUCCUGGGUUCAAGCGAUUCUCCUGGCUCAGCCUCCCGAGUAUCUGGGACUACAGGCACGAACCACCACGCCCAGCUAAUUUUUUUUUAAUUUUUAUUUUUAGUAGAGAUGGGGUUUCAUCAUGUUGGCCAGGAUGGUCUUGAUCUCCUGACCUCGUGAUCUGCCUGCCUCAGCCUCCCAAAGUGCUGGGAUUACAGGCGUGAGCCACUGUGCCGAGCCACCAAUUCAUUUUCAUUAAACAUGGAAAUAAAAACAGAGGUUUAAAUACUUGCUCCUUUUACCCCAAGAGAUAGUCUUGUACAUUCCCUGGGUUUUGUUAGAAAGUGAGUGAUUCAAAAUUCUUAAAUUUUUUUAAAUUAUUGUUUUUGAGACAGGCCCUCACUCUGUUGCCCAGGUUGGAUGGAGUGCAGUGGCAUGAUCACAGGUCACUCUAGCCUCGACCUCCUGGGCCCAAGCAAUCCUCCUGCCUCAGCUUCCUGAGUAGCUGGGACUACAGGUGCACGCCAUCACGCCUGGCUAAUUUUUUUUAACUUUUUUUGUUUUUAGAGACAGAGUCUUGUCCUGUUGCCUGGGCUGGUCUUGAAUUCCUGAUCUUAAGUAAUCCUCCUACCUCGGCCUCCCAAAGUGCUGGGAUUAUAGAUGUGGGCCACCACACCUUCCCUAUUUUGAAUUUUCUAUCAGUAACUGAGAAAGAAGUGUUGCAAUCUCCAAACAUAUCAUAAUUUUGUUUGGUCUCUAAGUUUUCUUUGUUUUUGCUUUACAUAUUUUGAAGCUCUGUGCAUAAACACUUAAGAUUUCUUAGAUCCUCUUAAUGAACUGACCCCUUCAUUAUUAUGAAAUGUCUCUCUCACAAGUAAUGGUCUUCAUUCUAAAAUCUACUUUGAUAUUAAUAUAUUUCAACAUUCUUUUCACUGGGGUUUUCAUAUGGGCAGUUUAUAGAUGGGUCUUGUUUUUUGCCGAAGUUGAUUAUUUCUGUCAUUCAUUAAUUCAUUUAUGAGACAGGGUUAGGCUAUCUCCCAGGCUGUAGUGCAGUGGCAUUAUCUUGGAUCACUGCAACCUCUGCCUCCUGGGCUCAUGCCAUCCUCCCACCUCAGCCUCUCAAGUAGCUGGGACCACAGGUGUGCACCACCACACUCGUAUAAUUUUUGUAUUCUUUGUAGAGACGGGUUUUUGCCAUGUUGUCCGGUCUGGUUUUGAAUUCCUGAGCUCAAGUAAUCCGCCCACCUGGGCCUCCCAAAGUGCUGGGAUUACAGGCCUGAGCCACUGUGCCCA
rnacentral:lncRNA from 1 species